rnacentral:rRNA from 1 species
UACGUAGGUGGCAAGCGUUGUCCGGAAUUAUUGGGCGUAAAGCGCGCGCAGGUGGUUUCUUAAGUCUGAUGUGAAAGCCCACGGCUCAACCGUGGAAGGUCAUUGGAAACUGAAAGGCUUGAGUACAGAAGAGGAAAGCGGAAUUCCACGUGUAGCGGUGAAAUGCGUAGAGAUGUGGAGGAACACCAGUGGCGAAGGCGGCUUCUGGUCUGUAACUGACGCUGAGGCGCGAAAGCGUGGGGAGCAAACAGG